rnacentral:tRNA from 1 species
GCUUUUGUGGUAUAAUUCGUCGUACGCCCGGCUGUAAAUUGGAAAAUCCAUGGUUCGAAUCCCAGCGAGAGCC